AUUGAACGCUGGCGGCAUGCUUUACACAUGCAAGUCGAGCGGCAGCGCGGGGGCAACCCUGGCGGCGAGCGGCGAACGGGUGAGUAAUGCAUCGGAACGUAUCCUCUUGUGGGGGAUAACCCACCGAAAGGUGGGCUAAUACCGCAUAAGCUCUGAGGAGGAAAGCGGGGGACCGAAAGGUCUCGCGCUGGAGGAGCGGCCGAUGUCCGAUUAGCUAGUUGGUGAGGUAAAGGCUCACCAAGGCGACGAUCGGUAGCUGGUCUGAGAGGAUGAUCAGCCACACUGGGACUGAGACACGGCCCAGACUCCUACGGGAGGCAGCAGUGGGGAAUUUUGGACAAUGGGGGCAACCCUGAUCCAGCCAUGCCGCGUGAGUGAAGAAGGCCUUCGGUUGUAAGACUCUUUCUAGACGGAACGAAAGUUAGCCUGGACCAAUAACUCUGGUAGAUGACGGUACCGUAAGAAGAAG
rnacentral:rRNA from 1 species